rnacentral:rRNA from 1 species
GAUGAACGCUGGCGGCGUGCCUAAUACAUGCAAGUCGAGCGAACAGACGAGGAGCUUGCUCCUCUGACGUUAGCGGCGGACGGGUGAGUAACACGUGGAUAACCUACCUAUAAGACUGGGAUAACUUCGGGAAACCGGAGCUAAUACCGGAUAAUAUAUUGAACCGCAUGGUUCAAUAGUGAAAGACGGUUUUGCUGUCACUUAUAGAUGAAUCCGCGCCGCAUUAGCUAGUUGGUAAGGUAACGGCUUACCAAGGCAACGAUGCGUAGCCGACCUGAGAGGAUGAUCGGCCACACUGGAACUGAGACACGGUCCAGACUCCUACGGGAGGCAGCAGUAGGGAAUCUUCCGCAAUGGGCGAAAGCCUGACGGAGCAACGCCGCGUGAGUGAUGAAGGUCUUCGGAUCGUAAAACUCUGUUAUUAGGGAAGAACAAAUGUGUAAGUAACUAUGCACGUCUUGACGGUACCUAAUCAGAAAGCCACGGCUAACUACGUG